rnacentral:RNase_P_RNA from 1 species
GUAGAUUAUUGGGCAAUCGCUUGCUCACGCGAGAGGAAAGUCCGGGCAGCAUAGGACACGACAGUUGCUAACGGCAACCGGGGGCGACCCUAGGGAAAGUGCCACAGAAACGAAACUACCUGUCAAAAGGAAAAGGUGAAACGAGUGGGGUAAGAGCCCACAGCUACGUGUGGUGACGCAUGCAGAAGGUAAACCCUGUUGGCUGCAAGGGAUUUGUUCAUAUUAGCGGUCCGCUAGAAUAGAUCAAUUUAAUCCGCUCGAACCUAGGUGCAAAUCUAGGUCUAGAUAGAUGAUUGUUCACGACAGAACCCGGCUUAUAGAUAGUCUACCAAC